UUUCCCUCAGGGUCCGGCUCACUUCAGAGCACAGCUUCUUCAGUUGGGGAUCUACCUCAUCGGCGGAGAUCUCUAAAUACGGAGUCAAAUCGAUCACCGGAAGCUCCAUUUCUAAUCAAUUUUGUUAGUAAUUAGUCCUGAUUGUAGGAGAGCGAAAAGGGGGAUCGAAUAGACUUUUUUCGACUGGGGAUUUUGGAUUGGGAGCGUGGGAGAUGAUGGCGGGAAUAAUCUUGCCUUUGUUAGUGGACCGCAGGCGCACGUUAGAAUAUGUUACUGUUAGAAUAUUUGGGGACCGGAUUGGGAUU
rnacentral:lncRNA from 1 species